GAAAGCUUUGGCUGCUCUAUGUGUCAGACAAUUUCAUCACAAUGCUAUUUUGAUACAUCAUCAUGAAGUACUGUGAUUUUAGGUUGUUGAAAAGCUAGGCUAGCAACAUGUUCACCGUGCCAGGAAUGGCCAAAGUGUGCUUUAUCAACUGAAUUUGCGGUUCUGUCAUCUGAGGAACAGCCUCAAUAAAGUGGCAGAAAGUCAUUACUGGAAAGCUAGCCACCAGAUGAAGGGCUCAACUGGAGAAAUUUUCAUCCAAAGCUUUCACUUGGGUUGCCAUAUAUAAUGCAGGGACCUAUUGAAGGAGUCAUUAUAGCAUGAGGACAACUUGAUACUUUACAGUGGAAGAGUAAGAUUGAAGAGAUUUGAGACUAUGUACCUGAACUCUGUCUUUGGAAUGCUUGAGUGUGAAACAUGCCUACAGAUUUCUCCCUUUGGAAGCUGUGGUGAGUACACAGA
rnacentral:lncRNA from 1 species